UGGGGAGCGGCAUGAUUGAAUCAGGGAUUCCCUAGCCCCAGGUCCCCUUCUCCGUCAUUCUCAGGACGAGGCUGCCCAGUUCUCAGAAAACCAGUAUGCUGAGAAGAGGAGUGGUGCCAUACAAGAGGCCAUGGAGGAUGAGCAGAGAUGGACAAAUGAGGAGAGUCCCUGGGAGCAGCAGGAGGCUGAUGCAACUUAUGUCUCCACAAGGAGAAACCACUGAGAGAAGCUCUGCAUUUGAGACCCUCCUAGACUUCAUCCUGUGUGUCUUUUCAUUUGGCUGUUUCUGAUUUAUACCCUUAAUAAACUAAUUAAACACAGCA